rnacentral:rRNA from 1 species
UCCUACGGGUGGCUGCAGUGGGGAAUUUUGGACAAUGGGCGCAAGCCUGAUCCAGCCAUGCCGCGUGAGUGAAGAAGGCCUUCGGGUUGUAAAGCUCUUUCGGUGAAGACGAAACGGUUAGUGUUAAUAGCACUGACUAAUGACGGUACUCACAGAAGAAGCACCGGCUAACUACGUGCCAGCAGCCGCGGUAAUACGUAGGGUGCAGGCGUUAAUCGGAAUUACUGGGCGUAAAGCGUGCGCAGGCGGUUUGCUAAGACAGGUGUGAAAUCCCCGGGCUUAACCUGGGAAUUGCGCUUGUAACUGGCAAGCUAGAGUGUGGCAGAGGGGGGUGGAAUUCCACGUGUAGCAGUGAAAUGCGUAGAUAUGUGGAGGAACACCGAUGGCGAAGGCAGCCCCCUGGGUUAACACUGACGCUCAUGCACGAAAGCGUGGGGAGCAAACAGGAUUAGAUACCCCAGUAGUC